UACAGAGGGUGCAAACGUUGUUCGGAAUUACUGGGCGUAAAGCGCGUGUAGGCGGCCCUGCAAGUCGGAUGUGAAAUCCCACGGCUCAACCGUGGAAGUGCAUUCGAAACUGCAGGGCUAGAGUCCUGGAGAGGAAGGUGGAAUUCUUGGUGUAGAGGUGAAAUUCGUAGAUAUCAAGCGGAACACCGGUGGCGAAGGCGGCCUUCUGGACAGUGACUGACGCUGAGACGCGAAAGCGUGGGGAGCAAACAGG
rnacentral:rRNA from 1 species